AUUGAACGCUAGCGGGAUGCUUUACACAUGCAAGUCGAACGAGUGGCGGACGGGUGCGUAAUAUAACGGAACGUGCCCAGUAGCGGGGGAUAACUACUCGAAAGAGUGGCUAAUACCGCAUACUAUUUGAGCGGCCGAUAUCGGAUUAGCUAGUUGGUGGGGUAAAGGCUCACAUAGGCAACGAUCCGUCGCUGGUUGUAGAGGACGACCAGCGAGACUGGGACGGAGACACGGCCCAGACGCCUACGGGAGGCAGCAGUGGGGAAUGUUGGACAAUGGGGGAAACCCUGAUCCAGCCAUCCCGCGUGUAUGAGAAGGUCUUCGGGUUGUAAAGUACUUUUGGCAGAGAAGCGGUAUCUGCAGAAUAAGCACCGGCUAACUACGUGCCAGCAGGCGCGGUAAUAC
rnacentral:rRNA from 1 species